rnacentral:rRNA from 1 species
CCUGUUUAACAAAAACAUGUCUUUUUGAGUUAUUUUAAAAGUCUGACCUGCCCACUGAAGUUGUUUAAAUGGCCGCAGUAUUCUAACUGUGCAAAGGUAGCAUAAUCAUUAGUCUUUUAAUUGAAGGCUGGUAUGAACGGUUGGACGAGGUAUAAGCUGUUUCAUAUAAAUUUAUAAUAGAAUUUUAUAUUUUAGUUAAAAAGCUAAAAUUUAAUUAAAAGACGAGAAGACCCUAUAAAUCUUUAUACCUUAUAUUAUUUAAGUUUUUUUGAUUAGUUUUACUUUUAUAGUUUGAGGUAUUUUGUUGGGGUGAUAUUAAAAUUUAAUAAACUUUUAAUUAUUAAAAAUCAUUAAUUUAUGAGUUAUUGAUCCAUUAAUAGUGAUUAUAAGAUUAAGUUACUUUAGGGAUAACAGCGUAAUUUUUUUGGAGAGUUCAUAUCGAUAAAAAAGUUUGCGACCUCGAUGUUGGAUUAAGAUAUAUUUUUAGGUGUAGCCGCUUAAAU